rnacentral:rRNA from 1 species
UCGGGUUGUAAAGCACUUUUGUCCGGAAAGAAAACUUCUGCCCUAAUACGGCGGGAGGAUGACGGUACCGGAAGAAUAAGCACCGGCUAACUACGUGCCAGCAGCGCGGUAAUCGUAGGGUGCGAGCGUUAAUCGGAAUUACUGGGCGUAAAGCGUGCGCAGGCGGUUCGUUAAGACAGAUGUGAAAUCCCCGGGCUUAACCUGGGAACUGCAUUUGUGACUGGCGAGCUAGAGUAUGGCAGAGGGGGGUAGAAUUCCACGUGUAGCAGUGAAAUGCGUAGAGAUGUGGAGGAAUACCGAUGGCGAAGGCAGCCCCCUGGGCCAAUACUGACGCUCAUGCACGAAAGCGUGGGGAGCAAACAGGAUUAGAUACCCUGGUAGUCCACGCCCUAAACGAUGUCAACUAGUUGUUGGGGAUUCAUUUCCUUAGUAACGUAGCUAACGCGUGAAGUUGACCGCCUGGGGAGUACGGUCGCAAGAUUAAAACUCAAAGGAAUUGACGGGGACCCGCACAAGCGGUGGAUGAAUGUGGAUUAAUUCGAUGCAACGCGAAAAACCUUACCUACCCUUGACAUGGUCGGAACCCUGCUG